rnacentral:rRNA from 1 species
ACACUCCUACGGGAGGCAGCAGUGGGGAAUAUCGCACAAUGGGCGCAAGCCUGAUGCAGCGACGCCGCGUGGGGGAUGAAGGCCUUCGGGUUGUAAACUCCUUUCGCUAGGGACGAAGCUUUUUUGUGACGGUACCUAGAUAAGAAGCACCGGCUAACUACGUGCCAGCAGCCGCGGUAAUACGUAGGGUGCGAGCGUUGUCCGGAAUUACUGGGCGUAAAGGGCUCGUAGGUGGUUUGUCGCGUCGUCUGUGAAAUUCUGGGGCUUAACUCCGGGCGUGCAGGCGAUACGGGCAUAACUUGAGUGCUGUAGGGGUAACUGGAAUUCCUGGUGUAGCGGUGAAAUGCGCAGAUAUCAGGAGGAACACCGAUGGCGAAGGCAGGUUACUGGGCAGUUACUGACGCUGAGGAGCGAAAGCAUGGGUAGCGAACAGGAUUAGAAACCCUGGUAGUCCCA